rnacentral:lncRNA from 1 species
ACCGCUUCCGUUUCGUAUAUGAUAUCGGAAAGUCUUGGCCUUAACUUAUGUUUCCAAACAUCACUGUUUGGCUCAACGUUAAUCUCCCGCCACCGUAUCUCCGCCACCACCAAAAUUUCCGUCAGCUGAUGAAUAUCUACGGUGAGAAUCAAAUUACUAUCCUGCCCUUCCAAAUAGAUCCCUCUCUCUUUCCUUUUCUUCGCCUUCACGUUCUCGAUUUUCCGGAACUCUUCUUCGAUUCUCAGUAUUAUCCUUUCCGGUUUCUCCCCCGAUACGAACUGUUCUCUCCGGGCCGAAAAGUCGGCGUCGUUGAAUAAACCGGAGAGGUCGAAACCGGUCGAAAAUGAGAUUAUAUGGAAGGCGUUUAAGCACUUGGUGCUCUGGAUAUCCCCUUUCAAUUCAAAUUCCUCCGCGUUGAAUUUGGUUUCUUUGUAACCUUUCUUGAACCAGGGAUCGGUGAUGAUUUCAUCGACGGUGAUCCUUGUUUCAGGAUUAGUGUCCAGAAGCCGGCUUAAAAAUCGCCGGAGAUCUGGAGACGUCCAUUUCGGGAACCGGAAUUCGCCUUUAUAAAUACGACGAUACAUCACCAUCAGAUUGGG